CUUGUGGGAUGGUGUGUGGGGCCACACAGCCCUUGGCAGCGCAUCUGGAGGAUGGCUAGGCUGGGUUACCUGAGUUGGUUCUAGAAGUUGGAUAAGAUCCAGCAGCAGCCUUGAACUACUUUGAAAUGUGAAUGCUGAUGAGCUACUGGGUGCACUGGUGGCUUCAAAGCACUUUGAAGAGUGCUGGAAAUAUCUCAGAUCGCCACUUCACACUUUCCCCCAGGGAGGACUGGAAGAAUCGUUACCAAUUAUUGGACAGCUGCAAUAAUGAUGAUAAUCGGAGCAUGAUCCAAACAGUCAACUUUCUUCCUUUCCCCUGUACUUCACUGGGGCACCUAAUGUGUAUCAUUUUAUUGGCCCUUUGAAAAAUAGCCCUGCAACCUUUAACUUGGGAAUGCCUGUACAAUGGCAUGGUGAGAAGGUCAUGUGGUCACUUUAAGGCCUGUGGCCUUCACCAGUGGUCUUUCACCCAUUUAUGUAACCACUGCAUCCCAGCAGCUAGCACAAUGCCUAGGAUAUAAACAUUAAGA